rnacentral:rRNA from 1 species
UACGUAGGGGGCAAGCGUUUGUCCGGAAUCAUUGGGCGUAAAGCGCGUGUAGGCGGUUACGUAAGUCUGCUGUGAAAGUCGGAGGCUCAACCUUCGAAAGCCGGUGGAUACUGCGUGACUAGAGUCCGGAAGAGGAGAGUGGAAUUCCUGGUGUAGCGGUGAAAUGCGCAGAUAUCGGGAAGAACACCCGUGGCGAAGGCGGCUCUCUGGGACGUGACGUGACGCUGAGACGCGAAAGCGUGGGGAGCAAACAGG